rnacentral:rRNA from 1 species
UGAGGAAUAUUGGUCAAUGGACGCAAGUCUGAACCAGCCAUGCCGCGUGCAGGAAGAAUGCCCUAUGGGUUGUAAACUGCUUUUAUUUGGGAAUAAACCUCUUAACGUGUAGAGAGCUGAAGGUACCAAAAGAAUAAGCACCGGCUACCUCCGUGCCAGCAGCCGCGGUAAUACGGAGGGUGCAAGCGUUAUCCGGAAUCAUUGGGUUUAAAGGGUCCGCAGACGGACUAAUAAGUCAGUGGUGAAAGCCCAUAGCUUAACUAUGGAACUGCCAUUGAAACUGUUAGUCUUGAAUUCGGUCGAAGUGGGCGGAAUGUGUCAUGUAGCGGUGAAAUGCAUAGAUAUGACACAGAACACCGAUAGCGAAGGCAGCUCACUAGGCCUGGAUUGACGCUCAGGGACGAAAGCGUGGGGAGCGA